rnacentral:rRNA from 1 species
GCUUCCGGAGCUAACGCGUUAAGUAGACCGCCUGGGGAGUACGGCCGCAAGGUUAAAACUCAAAUGAAUUGACGGGGGCCCGCACAAGCGGUGGAGCAUGUGGUUUAAUUCGAUGCAACGCGAAGAACCUUACCUGGUCUUGACAUCCACAGAACUUUCCAGAGAUGGACUGGUGCCUUCGGGAACUGUGAGACAGGUGCUGCAUGGCUGUCGUCAGCUCGUGUUGUGAAAUGUUGGGUUAAGUCCCGCAACGAGCGCAACCCUUAUCCUUUGUUGCCAGCGGUCCGGCCGGGAACUCAAAGGAGACUGCCAGUGAUAAACUGGAGGAAGGUGGGGAUGACGUCAAGUCAUCAUGGCCCUUACGACCAGGGCUACACACGUGCUACAAUGGCGCAUACAAAGAGAAGCGACCUCGCGAGAGCAAGCGGACCUCAUAAAGUGCGUCGUAGUCCGGAUUGGAGUCUGCAACUCGACUCCAUGAAGUCGGAAUCGCUAGUAAUCGUGGAUCAGAAUGCCACGGUGAAUACGUUCCCGGGCCUUGUACACACCGCCCGUCACACCAUGGGAGUGGGUUGCAAAAGAAGUAGGUAGCUUAACCUUCGGGAGGGCGCUUACCACUUUGUGAUUCAUGACUGGGGUGAAGUCGUAACAAGGUAACCGUAGGGGAACCUGCGGUUGGAUCACCUCCUUACCUUAAAGAAGC